rnacentral:rRNA from 1 species
UACGGAGGGUGCAAGCGUUGUCCGGAUUUAUUGGGUUUAAAGGGUGCGUAGGCGGCCCGUUAAGUCAGUGGUGAAAGCCUCCAGCUCAACUGGAGAACUGCCAUUGAUACUGACGGGCUUGAGUACAGACGAGGUUGGCGGAAUUGAUUGUGUAGCGGUGAAAUGCAUAGAUACAAUCAAGAACACCGAUUGCGUAGGCAGCUAACUAGGCUGUAACUGACGCUGAGGCACGAAAGCGUGGGGAGUGAACAGG